rnacentral:rRNA from 1 species
UUGAAAGGGAAACGAUUGAAGUCAGUCAUGCUGGUGGGAAUCAACUUAGGGGAAACUCUGGGUGCACUUCUUCGCUUGGCAGGUCAACGUCGAUUUUGAAUGUCAUAAAAUAAUUGGGGAAGGUAGCUCCUUCGGGAGUGUUAUAGCCCUUGAUAGAUGUGAUGUUUGAGGUCGAGGAUUGCAACGGAUACCUUUGGGGCUAGCUGCCUGAUCUCUAAUUGGUGUUGGGUUACGGAUAGCAUGCUGACCGUGAUCUAAUUACUGGUUAAAAGGUUAGAGUAUGCAUAAAUUCGUUAAGGAUGUUGACGUA